GACGAACGCUGGCGGCGUGCCUAAUACAUGCAAGUCGAACGGUCUUUUCUAUGGAAGCUUGCUUCCGCUGAGAAGAUAGUGGCGAACGGGUGAGUAACACGUGGGUAACCUGCCCAUAAGAGGGGGAUAACAUCCGGAAACGGGUGCUAAUACCGCAUAGGUUUCUUGGUCGCAUGAUCGAGAAAGGAAAGACGGCCUUUGUGCUGUCACUUAUGGAUGGACCCGCGGCGUAUUAGUUAGUUGGUGAGGUAACGGCUCACCAAGACGAUGAUACGUAGCCGACCUGAGAGGGUGAUCGGCCACAUUGGGACUGAGACACGGCCCAAACUCCUACGGGAGGCAGCAGUAGGGAAGCUUCCGCAAUGGACGAAAGUCUGACGGAGCAAGGCCGCGUGAGUGAAGAAGGUUUUCGGAUCGUAAAACUCUGUUGUCAGAGAAGAACAAGUCGGAGAGUAACUGCUCCGGCCUUGACGGUAUCUGACCAGAAAGCCAUGGCUAACUACGUGCCAGCCGCCGCGGUAAUAC
rnacentral:rRNA from 1 species